rnacentral:rRNA from 1 species
UACGGGGGGGGGUAAGCGUUGUUCGGAAUUACUGGGCGUAAAGGGCUCGUAGGCGGCCAACUAAGUCAGACGUGAAAUCCCUCAGCUUAACUGGGGAACUGCGUCUGAUACUGGAUGGCUUGGAUCCGGGAGAGGGAUGCGGAAUUCCAGGUGUAGCGGUGAAAUGCGUAGAUAUCUGGAGGAACACCGGUGGCGAAGGCGGCAUCCUGGACCGGUAUUGACGCUGAGGGGCGAAAGCCAGGGGAGCAAACGGG